rnacentral:tRNA from 1 species
GCCGGGAUGGCGGAACCUGGCAGACGCGCCGCGUUGAGGGCACGGUGGGAUUGCCCGUGCGGGUUCGAGUCCCGCUCCCGGCA